rnacentral:pre_miRNA from 1 species
UGUCACGCUGUGACCCUCUAAAGGGUGGUGCGUUCUGUUGUCUAAAAGAAAAGCAUCGAACGCGCCCCCCUUUAGGGGGUAACUGUGAGAAA